rnacentral:lncRNA from 1 species
GGGGUCGGCCGCCUCUGGGUCCCGCUUGAAAUUCUGUAGAAGCCUGAAAGCUCGCGGAGCGCGGACUCCGAGUGAGUUUGAGGAUGUGUGCGGCUGGUGGCUGCGCCGGGGCCCCCGCGGAGAAGGUGGGGGGCCCCGACACCCGCUUGCUUGGACCGUGCGCUAUGAGAAGAUGCUUCCCCUGACGGGAAUGGAGUACCAAUCACUGGCACUAUUGGAAAAACUGAUAGAAGGCUGUGGAUUACAGACAGAUGAGGAAACUGAGGCACUGAGGACUUCAGGAACUUGCCCACUGUUUCACAGCCAGGAAGAGGCAGAUUGCAGAUUUGGAGCCCAGAGAGUGCUGUUCUUAGUGUACACUGCCUCCUUGAUGCUGCUGGUCUCCCCUGGUGCCACCUCCAGCUUCGGGCUCCAGAACCUUCACGGUCAGGCUCUGGGUUCUGACCUUUUCCUGUCUUCAGCAACUAAAGAAUAAGAAGCAGGCAGAGACACAGAUGCUCCACGGCAGCCCUCCACCGACACCCAGCAAGCGGCGAGGUCUGGCACCCAGCACUCUGGGCAAAGUGCGCAAGGUUCUAAGCUCCCAGGAUUCCAUUAUCACUGAGAUGCUAAGAGUGAACAGAUGUAAAGUGUCAAAAGCUAAAUGAGAAAAAGAAGAGAACGGUCAUUCGGAGCCCCAGCAAGUAUCAUGGAACGCCCUGGAAUGUGCCCAGGAAACUAGAGUCACCGGAGGCUCACUUCAAAAGCUGGUCUUCAGUUGCGGCUGAGCAAAGUCCCGGCCUGCGGGUUCCAGCCCGUUGACACUGGAUCACGAAACACAAAUAGGUGUCAUUACUUCUACCAGUUUGAGGAGAAAAACACCCGCUGGUGUCAAGCCUGGAACCAAUGAGAAGAACCUGGAGCUCAUUGGCAGCAUCCUCAGUGAAGGAUCCGUCCCUUUCUGACAGCUCCACUGUUGGGCUUCAGGUCUGUAUGGCAACCCCUGCAUGUCCCCUUUUCAAACUGAUCUGUCAUCUGCCAGCUUCAUUACCGUCUGGACAUAGGGCUACACUAACCAGUCUCAGCUGUACAAGCUCAUAAAAACCUUUUUUUUUACAAAGGAAGUAGAAAUUCCUAACAUAGAUUUCAAAAAUAAUAACUAUCUGGUUUAAAUUCCCAACCUGCUGAUUAACUUAUUCAGACUUGGAUUCUCAGCCCAUGUAAAGUCAGGCUGGGUCGGAGUUCCCGUUGUGGCCCAGUGGUUAACGGCUCCAACUAGGAGCCACGAGGUUGUGGGUUAAGGAUCCGGUGUUGCCGUGAGUUGUGGUGUAGGUCGCAGACGUGGCUCGGAUCCCGAGUUGGCUGUGGCUGUGGCGUAGGCCGGUGGCUAUAGCUCCAAUUAGACCCCUAGCCUGGAACCUCCACAUGCCACAAGUGCCGCCCUAAAAAAGACAAAAAAAAAAAAAAAAAAAAAAA